GACGAACGCUGGCGGCGUGCCUAAUACAUGCAAGUAGAACGCUGAAGAGAGGAGCUUGCUCUUCUUGGAUGAGUUGCGAACGGGUGAGUAACGCGUAGGUAACCUGCCUUGUAGCGGGGGAUAACUAUUGGAAACGAUAGCUAAUACCGCAUAACAAUGGAUGACACAUGUCAUUUAUUUGAAAGGGGCAAUUGCUCCACUACAAGAUGGACCUGCGUUGUAUUAGCUAGUAGGUGAGGUAAUGGCUCACCUAGGCGACGAUACAUAGCCGACCUGAGAGGGUGAUCGGCCACACUGGGACUGAGACACGGCCCAGACUCCUACGGGAGGCAGCAGUAGGGAAUCUUCGGCAAUGGGGGCAACCCUGACCGAGCAACGCCGCGUGAGUGAAGAAGGUUUUCGGAUCGUAAAGCUCUGUUGUAAGUCAAGAACGGGUGUGAGAGUGGAAAGUUCACACUGUGGCGGUAGCUUACCAGAAAGGGACGGCUAACUACGUG
rnacentral:rRNA from 1 species